rnacentral:rRNA from 1 species
AUUGAACGCUGGCGGCAGGCCUAACACAUGCCAGUCGAGCGGAUGAAGGGAGCUUGCUCCUGGAUUCAGCGGCGGACGGGUGAGUAAUGCCUAGGAAUCUGCCUGGUAGUGGGGGAUAACGUCCGGAAACGGGCGCUAAUACCGCAUACGUCCUGAGGGAGAAAGUGGGGGAUCUUCGGACCUCACGCUAUCAGAUGAGCCUAGGUCGGAUUAGCUAGUUGGUGGGGUAAAGGCCUACCAAGGCGACGAUCCGUAAUUGGUCUGAGAGGAUGAUCAGUCACACUGGAACUGAGACACGGUCCAGACUCCUACGGGAGGCAGCAGUGGGGAAUAUUGGACAAUGGGCGAAAGCCUGAUCCAGCCAUGCCGCGUGUGUGAAGAAGGUCUUCGGAUUGUAAAGCACUUUAAGUUGGGAGGAAGGGCAGUAAGUUAAUACCUUGCUGUUUUGACGUUACCAACAGAAUAAGCACCGGCUAACUUCGUG